rnacentral:rRNA from 1 species
AUUAGUGGCGAACGGGUGAGUAACACGUGAGUAACCUGCCCUUAACUCUGGGAUAAGCCUUGGAAACGGGGUCUAAUACUGGAUAUUGACUUUACAUCGCAUGGUGUUUGGUUGAAAGAUUUAUUGGUUUGGAUGGACUCGCGGCCUAUCAGCUUGUUGGUGAGGUAAUGGCUCACCAAGGCGACGACGGGUAGCCGGCCUGAGAGGGUGACCGGCCACACUGGGACUGAGACACGGCCCAG